rfam:Gossypium raimondii Chr10_contig_1423, whole genome shotgun sequence.
UACUAAAAAAUUCAUCCAUUUGUGCUGUUAAAACUGGUGUGACUGACGAAAUAACUAGACAUUGACAUGUCACAUGUACCUCAUGUUGAUGUAAAUGGACCAAUUUUUAACUAGAAAUGGAUGAAAUUUUUAACA